rnacentral:rRNA from 1 species
UACGUAGGGGGCAAGCGUUGUUCGGAAUUACUGGGCGUAAAGCGCGUGUAGGCGGCUUUGCAAGUCGGGUGUGAAAGCCCUCAGCUCAACUGAGGAAGUGCGCCCGAAACUGCAGAGCUUGAGUGCCGGAGAGGGUGGCGGAAUUCCCCAAGUAGAGGUGAAAUUCGUAGAUAUGGGGAGGAACACCGGUGGCGAAGGCGGCCACCUGGACGGUAACUGACGCUGAGACGCGAAAGCGUGGGGAGCAAACAGG